ensembl:lncRNA
UGUUAGUACAUUUUUACAUGAUAGUACAUGUUUACGCUAUAAAUCUAGUGUUUUGCAACGUUUUCUGUGAGGGUUGUGUUUAGGGCUUGGGUUAGAAGACAGAAAAUAUGAUUAACUUCAUAUAAAAAACAAUGGAGAUCUAUCAGAAGACCUCAGUAAUGUAGUCAAAUAAGCCUGUGUGUGUGUGUGUGUGUGUGUGUGUGUGUUUCAGGUCUGGAUCAGUUCUGCAGUUUUAAUCAAUCUGAUCCCUGUUACGCAGCUCUGGGACACAAACUCAAUCUGCUGAUGGUGCGAGACACUCGAGAAUAUGACCUGAGGUUACGUCACAGAAUAAAUAACACACAAGAUGAUCCAGUUUGUAGAGUAAAAUAUGGCAGGAUAAAGGAAUGUGAUCUUUAUAAUAACAGAACUGAAGUGAACAUCAUUAAUGGGACUGUGAUAAUAAAGCGUGUGAUCAGAGCAGAUUCUGGGAAUUACAGAUUAACACUCACUGACUCAGACGGCACAGACACAUCUAGAGAUCUUCAAGUGAUUGUUGAAGCUCCUAUUGGCUCAGUGGAAGUGUCAAUCAUCUGCUCCUCCAGUGGGGUGAUGAAGGUGUUCUGCUCCUCUGAGGGGGAUCAGCUCCUCUACAGCUGGACUCUGAAUGGAGAUCCACUGAUGGAUGGAAACAGCAGCAUUGAUCUGGAUGAGGGAACUGAUGGAGACAUCAGCUGCAGUGUGAAGAACCACAUCAGUCACGCACAGAAGAACAUUAGACUUAAACCCUGUCCUGGACCAACUACUGCAGCUGUGACCUCUAGUUUGACCUCUACGUCGACACAGACAGCAGAUUAUGGUCUGAAAGUAAAAUGCAGUUUUAAUCAAUCUGAACCCUGUUACGCAGCUCUGGGACACAAACUCAAUCUGCUGAUGGAGCGGGACGCUCAAGAAUAUGAUCUGAAGAUAAUAAAGAGAAUAAAAAACAACACACAAGAUGAUCCAAUUUGUAGAGUAAAAUAUGGCAGGAUAAAGGAAUGUGAUCUUUAUAAUAACAGAACUGAAGUGAACAUCACUAAUGGGACUGUGAUAAUAAACCGUGUGAUCAGAGCAGAUUCUGGGAAUUACAGAUUACUACUCUUUCACUCAUAUGGCAUACAAACAUCUAGAGAUCUUCAAGUGAUUGUUGAAGCUCCUAUUGGCUCAGUGAGAGUGUCAAUCAUCUGCUCCUCCAGUGGGGUGAUGAGGGUGUUCUGCUCCUCUGAGGGGGAUCAGCUCCUCUACAGCUGGACUCUGAAUGGAGAUCCACUGAUGGAUGGAAACAGCAGCAUUGAUCUGGAUGAGGGAACUGAUGGAGACAUCAGCUGCAGCGUGAAGAACCACGUCAGUCACGCACAGAAGAACAUUAGAGCCAAACCCUGUCCUGGACCAACUACUGCAGCUGUGACCUUUAGUUUGACCUCUACGUCGACACAGACAUCAGAAUAUGGUACGAGUUUCUCAUCAGCUGAUAUGAAUGUCACCUACACAACUGCAUUUUCUUCCAGGAUGUAUGAGUGCUGAGCUACAACACAUAAUGUAAAUAACGAUGAAAUCUAAUAAUAAUGAUGGCAGCGAGGGAUCUAUAGGAUCUAUUAUUUGUUUUCUUUCCUGAAAUUAAAAUACCAUAAUAAACAAAAUAUGCGAUUGGUUUUUAAAAAUCCA